CGGACGGGUGAGUAAUGUCUGGGAAACUGCCUGAUGGAGGGGGAUAACUACUGGAAACGGUAGCUAAUACCGCAUAACGUCGCAAGACCAAAGAGGGGGACCUUAGGGCCUCUUGCCAUCGGAUGUGCCCAGAUGGGAUUAGCUAGUAGGUGGGGUAACGGCUCACCCAGGCGACGAUCCCUAGCUGGUCUGAGAGGAUGACCAGCCACACUGGAACUGAGACACGGUCCAG
rnacentral:rRNA from 1 species